rnacentral:rRNA from 1 species
CAUGUGCACGCUCUGUUCACACAUCCACUCACACCCUGUGCACCCUCUGUAGUUCUAUGGUCAGGGGGCCUGUCCUCCUGCUGUGGUUCUGCAUCUUUACACACACGCCGUAACAAAGUCUCAUGGAAUGCAUGUCGCGUUUAACGCAAUACAAUACAACUUUUAGCAACGGAUCUCUUGGCUCUCGCAUCGAUGAAGAACGCAGCGAAAUGCGAUAAGUAAUGUGAAUUGCAGAAUUCAGUGAAUCAUCGAAUCUUUGAACGCACCUUGCGCCCUUUGGCCAUUCCGAAGGGCAUGCCUGUUUGAGUAUCAUGAACACCUCAACUCAUCGUGGUUUUCCAUGAUGAGCUUGGACUUUGGGGGUUUUGCUGGCCUACAGUCGGCUCCUCUAAAAUAAAUCAGCUUACCGGUGUUUGGUGGGUAUCAUGGGUGUGAUAACUAUCUACGCUUGUGGUUUUUCCACCAGGUAACCUUCAGCAGUGAAGGUUCAC